GAUGAACGCUGGCGGCGUGCCUAAUACAUGCGAGUCGAGCGAACAGACGAGGAGCUUGCUCCUCUGACGUUAGCGGCGGACGGGUGAGUAACACGUGGAUAACCUACCUAUAAGACUGGGAUAACUUCGGGAAACCGGAGCUAAUACCGGAUAAUAUAUUGAACCGCAUGGUUCAAUAGUGAAAGACGGUUUUGCUGUCACUUAUAGAUGGAUCCGCGCCGCAUUAGCUAGUUGGUAAGGUAACGGCUUACCAAGGCAACGAUGCGUAGCCGACCUGAGAGGGUGAUCGGCCACACUGGAACUGAGACACGGUCCAGACUCCUACGGGAGGCAGCAGUAGGGAAUCUUCCGCAAUGGGCGAAAGCCUGACGGAGCAACGCCGCGUGAGUGAUGAAGGUCUUCGGAUCGUAAAACUCUGUUAUUAGGGAAGAACAAAUGCGUAAGUAACUAUGCACGUCUUGACGGUACCUAAUCAGAAAGCAACGGCUAACUACGUG
rnacentral:rRNA from 1 species